rnacentral:rRNA from 1 species
UACGGAGGGUGCAAGCGUUAUCCGGAUUCACUGGGCUUAAAGGGUGCGUAGGUGGGCAGGUAAGUCAGUGGUGAAAUCUCCGGGCUUAACCCGGAAACUGCCGUUGAUACUAUUUGUCUUGAAUAUUGUGGAGGUAAGUGGAAUAUGUCAUGUAGCGGUGAAAUGCUUAGAUAUGACAUAGAACACCAAUUGCGAAGGCGGCUUACUACACAACGAUUGACGCUGAGGCACGAAAGCGUGGGGAUCAAACAGG